UACGUAGGUGGCAAGCGUUGUCCGGAUUUACUGGGCGUAAAGAGCGCGCAGGCGGUCGUUCAAGUCGCGUGUGAAAGCCCCCGGCUCAACUGGGGAGGGUCACGCGAUACUGAUCGACUCGAAGGCAGGAGAGGGUAGUGGAAUUCCCGGUGUAGUGGUGAAAUGCGUAGAUAUUGGGAGGAACACCAGUGGCGAAGGCGGCUCACUGGACCGGUACUGACGCUGAUGCGCGAAAGCGUGGGUAGCGAACAGG
rnacentral:rRNA from 1 species